UCAGACAUGGCAUUUGGAUGGAUACUCCUUUUUUUCCGUCGGCUCGGAGCCCGGCACGUGGACCCCAGAAAAAAGAAGCAACUACAAUCUCCUUGACGCUGUGAGCAGGUACACUGUCCAAGUGUUCCCCAAAUCCUGGGCUGCCAUCAUGUUGACAUUCGACAGCGCUGGAAUGUGGAACGUAAGGUCUGAACAACCGGAGAGGCGCUACCUAGGACAACAAUUUUACGUGGGCGUUGAAAAUAUUGCACGCUCCCUCAGAAACGAGUACAACAUGCCAGACAAUGCCCUUGUCUGUGGCAUCGUUAAGGACAUGCCCAAGCCCGCACCAUUCAGCAUGUAACAUAUUUCACCGUCAUGCCAUGCCGCUUCACACUGUGUGACAGAUACAGAGUAGAAAGGGACAGCGACGAUCCGAAAAAUUGUACGUGUGUGAGUGUGAGAGAGCGAGAUCAUCAUUAAGAUUUUUUGUAUUUCUUCGCAGCCAAUUUAAGCGAAGAGUGUUAAAAGAAUGGUAAAGAAUAAGAAGUGUUUGGUACAGCAUAAAA